rnacentral:rRNA from 1 species
CUAGCCGUAAACGAUGGACACUAGUUGCUGGAGGAGUCAAUCUUUUCAGUGACGAAGCUAACGCAUUAAGUGUCCCGCCUGGGGAGUACGCCCGCAAGGGUGAAACUCAAAGGAAUUGACGGGGGCCCGCACAAGCGGUGGAGCAUGUGCUUUAAUUCGAUGCAACGCGAAGAACCUUACCUGGACUUGACAUGGGGGUGAAAGCUUUCAGAAAUGAGAGACCUUCCGCAAGGAACACCCCACACAGGUGC